UAUGUAGGGUGCGAGCGUUAAUCGGAAUUACUGGGCGUAAAGCGUGCGCAGGCGGUUCGUUGUGUCUGAUGUGAAAGCCCCGGGCUCAACCUGGGAAUGGCAUUGGAAACUGGCGAGCUAGAAUCUGGCAGAGGGGGGUGGAAUUCCACGUGUAGCAGUGAAAUGCGUAGAGAUGUGGAGGAACACCGAUGGCGAAGGCAGCCCCCCUGGGCUGAGAUUGACGCUCAGGCACGAAAGCGUGGGGAGCAAACAGG
rnacentral:rRNA from 1 species